GAUCCAGUUGCAGAUGACAGCUGAGUGCUAGCACAGACAGACAAAAACAGAUUUGCUCCUGAUACACUACUGAGGCUCCACUUUUAUUCUGUGCCACAAAUCCACAACCCUCAGAGAAAUGGUGUGAUUAAUCAUCAAUGCCUGCAGGUACGUGGUGCUGAAGAUCCGGGCUGCAGUGAGAGGCAACGUGCAGCCAGAGAAAACAAGCACCACAGCAUUUAGCCAGGCUAAAGGAGAAAUGGAUGGCAGGAUGAGCGCUGAUGGGUCAGCCUUGAUUUCCCAACCGACCCAGACAGUCGAUGACCUGCAGAAGAAAGACUGUGGAUCCUGAAACUAAACCGAGAGCUGGGGGGUAGUGUGGAAGGUCUAUAAUGAGGAGACAAACACAUUAAAACACACACACACACACACACACACACACACACACACACACACACACACACACACACACACACACACACACACACACACACACACACACACACACACACACACACACACACUCUAUGUGGUUCAUUCCAAAUGUAAUGAAAUUAUCAAUUCCUCCACAAUCUCGCCACACAAACACAGGCACUACCAUUCAUUAAAAACUCAGACAAAAAGACUUCAGACUGCAUUGAACUCCCACCUGCUUCCAGCUCUCGGUUUCCUUCAUCCAGUGGAGACAGCAGUCCCAGUUGGCAGAGAGAAUGAAAGCCUGAUCACCAAUUCCUCAGCAGAGGAACGGAUCAAUCUGGAUAAAUAUUAAAGACUCUGCUGAUAAAGCUGCAUCAAGUCAUGUAUUCGUAGACCUCUUCUUUUUCUCUGUCACUGUAAUCAUUUUCAGUAAAAAAGUGCAUAGUCCUUG